rnacentral:rRNA from 1 species
AGUGAACGCUGGCGGUAGGCUUAACACAUGCAAGUCGAACGGCAGCACAGUAAGAGCUUGCUCUUACGGGUGGCGAGUGGCGGACGGGUGAGGAAUACAUCGGAAUCUACUUUUUCGUGGGGGAUAACGUAGGGAAACUUACGCUAAUACCGCAUACGACCUACGGGUGAAAGCAGGGGAUCUUCGGACCUUGCGCGAUUGAAUGAGCCGAUGUCGGAUUAGCUAGUUGGCGGGGUAAAGGCCCACCAAGGCGACGAUCCGUAGCUGGUCUGAGAGGAUGAUCAGCCACACUGGAACUGAGACACGGUCCAGACUCCUACGGGAGGCAGCAGUGGGGAAUAUUGGACAAUGGGCGCAAGCCUGAUCCAGCCAUACCGCGUGGGUGAAGAAGGCCUUCGGGUUGUAAAGCCCUUUUGUUGGGAAAGAAAAGCAGCAGGUUAAUACCCCGCUGUUCUGACGGUACCCAAAGAAUAAGCACCGGCUAACUUCGU